AAAUAAAAAAUAAAAAAAAUCAGAAACUAAUUAUUAAACGUGGUAGCAUCGAGAGUCCAUCAAAGUAGGGUUUCGUAUUCUUCAUCUUUCUCUCACUCCCUCCUCCUUGCCGCCUCUGUUAUCUUAAUUUUCAUUUUAUUUUUUAUUUUUUUUGACAUGCCGCCUCUAUUAUUGCUGGAAGCAACACUCAACAAUGGCGGAACAUGUGAGGUCAUCAGACAUGGAGAAAAUCGCACAAAAGCUAGAACAACUUGAGCAAACUAUGAGGAAUGUUAGAGAGGAUGAUCUUUCUCAAUUAGCUUAUGCGACGGUUCAAUAUAAUGCUUCAGAUUUGUCUACUUGACUUGAAUCUAUGCUUUAUGAGUUAAAUCCAUUGUCAACUACUUUCGAUCCGGCGAAUCCGAUACUACUGCCUUCUAUUGGGUUAUUAUGAUGGAGGAGGUAGGAGAUUACAGACACAACCACACAGGGGGCAGUGUAAUAGUGCAGCACACACCGCAAUGUCACAUACUCACAUCCUCUAAAGGAGAGAGAAAACCAAAGGGAUACAAUCCGUUAAGAACACAUUUAGGAUUAUUCAAACUCAGAUACAGAGUAGUCAUAUACUUCUGUAUUUUUGAGAUGGAUAUAUAAUGUUUUUAAUUAUAUUUUCAAUUAUUGAUCAUAUUAAAUUACUUGGUACUCAUUAAUUUUGUAGACUAAGAACUUUAGAUGAAAUGAAUGAAGAAUAUUAGGAAUUGAUUUGUAUAA